GUAUUCUAAGGCGCUUGAGAGAACUCAGGAGAAGGAACUCGGCAAAUUGACACCGUAACUUCGGAAGAAGGUGUGCCCUAUUAGUGUGAAGUGAACAACGGAGCAUGAAUGGGUUGCAAAAAAUCGGUAGCUGCGACUGUUUAUUAAAAACACAGCACUCUGCAAACACGAAAGUGGACGUAUAGGGUGUGACGCCUGCCCGGUGCUGGAAGAUUAAAUGAUGGGGUGCAAGCUCUUGAUUGAAGUCCCAGUAAACGGCGGCCGUAACAAUAACGGUCCUAAGGUAGCGAAAUUCCUUGUCGGGUAAGUUCCGACCUGCACGAAUGGCGUAACGAUGGCCACACUGUCUCCUCCUGAGACUCAGCGAAGUUGAAAUGUUCGUGAUGAUGCAAUCUCCCCGCGGAAAGACGGAAAGACCCCAUGAACCUUUACUGUAGCUUUGUAUUGGACUUUGAACAGAUCUGUGUAGGAUAGGUGGGAGGCUUUGAAGCAGGGUCGCUAGAUCUUGUGGAGCCAACGUUGAAAUACCACCCUGGUGUGUUUGAGGUUCUAACCUAGGUCCAUUAUCUGGAUCGGGGACAGUGCAUGGUAGGCAGUUUGACUGGGGCGGUCUCCUCCCAAAGCGUAACGGAGGAGUUCGAAGGUACGCUAGUUACGGUCGGACAUCGUGACGAUAGUGCAAUGGCAUAAGCGUGCUUAACUGCGAGACUGACAAGUCGAGCAGAUGCGAAAGCAGGACAUAGUGAUCCGGUGGUUCUGUAUGGAAGGGCCAUCGCUCAACGGAUAAAAGGUACUCUGGGGAUAACAGGCUGAUACCGCCCAAGAGUUCAUAUCGACGGCGGUGUUUGGCACCUCGAUGUCGGCUCAUCUCAUCCUGGGGCUGUAGCCGGUCCCAAGGGUAUGGCUGUUCGCCAUUUAAAGAGGUACGUGAGCUGGGUUUAAAACGUCGUGAGACAGUUUGGUCCCUAUCUUCCGUGGGCGCUGCAGAUUUGAGGAAGCCUGCUCCUAGUACGAGAGGACCGGAGUGGACACACCUCUGGUGUAUCGGUUGUCACGCCAGUGGCAUUGCCGAGUAGCUAAGUGUGGAAGAGAUAACCGCUGAAAGCAUCUAAGCGGGAAACUCGUUUCAAGAUGAGAUCUGCCGGGGCCUUGAGCCCCCUGAAGAGUCGUUCAAGACCAGGACGUUGAUAGGUCAGGUGUGGAAGCGCAGUAAUGCGUUAAGCUAACUGAUACUAAUUGCUCGUGCGGCUUGAUC
rnacentral:rRNA from 1 species